rnacentral:rRNA from 1 species
UGGUGCCAGCAGGCGGUAAUACGUAGGUGGCAAGCGUUAUCCGGAAUUAUUGGGCGUAAAGCGCGCGUAGGCGGUUUCUUAAGUCUGAUGUGAAAGCCCACGGCUCAACCGUGGAGGGUCAUUGGAAACUGGGAAACUUGAGUGCAGAAGAGGAGAGUGGAAUUCCAUGUGUAGCGGUGAAAUGCGCAGAGAUAUGGAGGAACACCAGUGGCGAAGGCGGCUCUCUGGUCUGUAACUGACGCUGAUGUGCGAAAGCGUGGGGAUCAAACAGGAUUAGAUACCCUGGUAGUCCCAA